AGUGAACGCUGGCGGUAGGCCUAACACAUGCAAGUCGAACGGCAGCACAGGAGAGCUUGCUCUCUGGGUGGCGAGUGGCGGACGGGUGAGGAAUACAUCGGAAUCUACUCUGUCGUGGGGGAUAACGUAGGGAAACUUACGCUAAUACCGCAUACGACCUACGGGUGAAAGUGGGGGACCGCAAGGCCUCACGCGAUUGAAUGAGCCGAUGUCGGAUUAGCUAGUUGGCGGGGUAAAGGCCCACCAAGGCGACGAUCCGUAGCUGGUCUGAGAGGAUGAUCAGCCACACUGGAACUGAGACACGGUCCAGACUCCUACGGGAGGCAGCAGUGGGGAAUAUUGGACAAUGGGCGCAAGCCUGAUCCAGCCAUACCGCGUGAGUGAAGAAGGCCCUCGGGUUGUAAAGCUCUUUUGUUGGGAAAGAAAUCCUGUUGGUUAAUACCUGGCAGGGAUGACGGUACCCAAAGAAUAAGCACCGGCUAACUUCGUGCCAGCAGCCGAC
rnacentral:rRNA from 1 species